rnacentral:sRNA from 1 species
GCAUUUCAACACCUGGACAUAGCGAUGGU